GGCUUGUGCUGGACAAUCGCGCUCGAGGCUUCGGCUUUGAGUGAGGAAAGUCCGAACACAGCCUUUGCCAGCAAUGGCAAAGGAGCAAGUAGCGGGUAAUUCCCGUCUGGGGCAACCCAUGAGGUGCGAGCAGAGACGCCGAAAAUCGCGCAAGCGAAAUGCCGAAAGGCUAGGAUUCCUCGGCCAUGCAAAUGGCAAAGGAACAUGUCUGCCGUAAGGCAGAAUUGAAACGGCUAAACCCUUACUUCUGUGCAAGACCGUGCUAGUUGUGUAAGCGAAAGUUUGCACAACAUGAGAGUCGCUUGAGCCUGCGAGCAAUCGUAGGCCUAGAUAAAUGAUUGUCGUCACACGAUCGAAAGAUCGCGCGAUACAGAAUUCGGCUUAUAGGCACAAGCCAUAA
rnacentral:RNase_P_RNA from 1 species